GAGACUAAUUCCCUGAGAGGCUCCCCUGGCCAUGGGCCACAUUCCAGACUGGGGUGGGAGGAAACUGCCCAGUGCAUUUAUGGAGAGUCAUUCCCCAGCCCAUUUAUAAGCUUUGUGAGUCGGGUGGCUUCUGAAGGGAGGAGGGCUGUCCUCAGUUCAGUCAUUGCUUCUCAGCAGAAGGGCACUAUAAGGUGUGAGUCCUCUGUUGG
rnacentral:lncRNA from 1 species